GACCUCGGAUCAGAUAGGAAUACCCGCUGAACUUAAGCAUAUCAAUAAGCGGAGGAAAAGAAACCAACAGGGAUUGCCCUAGUAACGGCGAGUGAAGCGGCAACAGCUCAAAUUUGAAAUCUGGCCUUUUGGCCCGAGUUGUAAUUUGGAGAAGGUGCUUGGGAAGAGGCAAUGGUCCAAGUCCCUUGGAAAAGGGCGUCAUAGAGGGUGAGAAUCCCGUACUUGACCAAUUGUCGAUUCCAUGUGAAGCCCUUUCGACGAGUCGAGUUGUUUGGGAAUGCAGCUCUAAAUGGGUGGUAAAUUUCAUCUAAAGCUAAAUACCUGCCAGAGACCGAUAGCGCACAAGUAGAGUGAUCGAAAGAUGAAAAGCACUUUGAAAAGAGAGUCAAACAGUACGUGAAAUUGUUGAAAGGGAAGCGCUCGCAAUCAGACUCGUUUGCAGAAGCUCAGCCUUCCUUCGGGAUGGUGUACUCUUCUGUCAACGGGCCAGCAUCAGUCUUGGCGACCGGAUAAAGAUUCUGAGAACGUAGCUCUCUUGGGAGAGUGUUAUAGCUCGGAAUGUAAUGCGGCCAGCUGAGACUGAGGUCCGCGCUUUUGCUAGGAUGCUGGCGUAAUGGUUGCAAGCGACCCGUCUUGAAACACGGACCAAGGAGUCGACCAAUGACGCAAGUGUUUGGGUGUAA
rnacentral:rRNA from 1 species